rnacentral:rRNA from 1 species
AGGACGAACGCUGGCGGCGUGCCUAACACAUGCAAGUCGAACGAAGCACUUCUCUGGAGAUUCGUCGAAAGAGGAUUGACUUAGUGGCGGACGGGUGAGUAAUACAUGAGCAACCUGCCCUGAGGAGGGGGACAACAGUUGGAAACGACUGCUAAUACCGCAUGAUGUAUCCGGGAGGCAUCUUCCGGAUACCAAAGAUUUAUCGCCUUGGGAUGGGCUCAUGUCUGAUUAGCUGGUUGGUGGGGUAACGGCCUACCAAGGCUGCGAUCAGUAGCCGGACUGAGAGGUUGAACGGCCACAUUGGGACUGAGAUACGGCCCAGACUCCUACGGGAGGCAGCAGUGGGGAAUAUUGGGCAAUGGGCGAAAGCCUGAACCCCCAGCAACGCCGCGUGAAGGAAGAAGGCCUUCGGGUUGUAAACUUCUUUUAUGAGGGACGAAGGACGUGACGGUACCUCAUGAAUAAGCCACGGCUAACUACGUGCCAGCAGCUGC